AUUGAACGCUGGCGGCAGGCCUAACACCUGCAAGUCGAGCGGAGAGGCGGACGGGUGAGGAAUGCCUAGGAAUCUGCCUGGGAGGGGGGGAUAACGUCCGGAAACGGGAGCUAAUACCGAAUAAUCUCAGAUGAGGCUAGGUCGGAUUAGCUAGUUGGUGGGGUAAAGGACUACCAAGGCGACGAUCCGUAACUGGUCUGAGAGGAUGAUCAGUCACCCUGGAACUGAUACACGGUCCAGACUCCGACGGGAGGCAGCAGUGGGGAAUAUUGGACAAUGGGCGAAAGCCUUAUCCAGCCAUGCCGCGUGUGUGAAGAAGGUCUUCGUAUUGUAAAGCACUUUAAGUUGGGAGGCGUUACCAACAGAAUAAGCACCGGCUAACUUCGUGCCAGCAGCCGCGGUAAUUC
rnacentral:rRNA from 1 species